rnacentral:rRNA from 1 species
AGGGCGAACGCUGGCGGCGUGCUUAACACAUGCAAGUCGAGCGGAAAGGCCCUUCGGGGUACUCGAGCGGCGAACGGGUGAGUAACACGUGAGUAAUCUGCCCCUAGCUCUGGGAUAGCUCCGGGAAACCGGGAUUAAUACUGGAUACGACCACCUUAGACAUCUUUUGUGGUGGAAAGAAUUUCGGCUAGGGAUGAGCUCGCGGCCUAUCAGCUUGUUGGUGGGGUAACGGCCUACCAAGGCGACGACGGGUA